CAGCUGAUCAGCGUGGGGAUGGCAGCGGAUAUUAUGCACCUGGGGACGUGCUGGCUCGGCAGCGGCAGGAGGAGGCCGCCUCUGGCUGAGGUUCUGGAUAUUAUCCUCAGGGGACUGCAAGAAGCUGGGCCGGAGGUGGAGAGAUGGCAGGAGCUGCCGGAGCCCAGAAUUCUCCAAAUCC